GAUGCGGGAGCUGUCAUGUCUGCAGAAGAAAUUAAAGCCACUUAAUCUCGCACAGAGCAAACCCAGAUGCACAUUUCGGAGGAGUUGAGACGCGUGGAAACUUCUAGACUACCCAGACGCGGCGAAGUGACAGCGUUGUGGCAUUGAGCUUAUCUGUCGCCCUGGAGACGAGCAGAUGACAGGUCAAGUGAGUCAGAGUGUGGCAUUAAGCUUAUCUGUCGCCAUGGAGACGAGCAGAUGACAGACCAGUGUGGCAUUGAAUCUAUCGCCAUGGAGACAAGCUGAUGACAGGCGAAGUGGGUCAGAGGUCAGAUCUAUGGAGAGGCGAUCCCACUCGCAGAAAGAAUGCG